rnacentral:rRNA from 1 species
GCCUACGGGGGGCAGCAGUGGGGAAUAUUGCUCAGUGGGCGGAAGCCUGACGCAGCGACGCCGCGUGAGGGAUGAAGGUCUUCGGAUCGUAAACCUCUGUCAGCAGGGAAGAACGGUCACUGUGCUAAUCAGCAGUGAAUUGACGGUACCUGCAAAGGAAGCACCGGCUAACUCCGUGCCAGCAGCCGCGGUAAUACGGAGGGUGCGAGCGUUAAUCGGAAUUACUGAGCGUAAAGCGCUCGUAGGCGGUAUGUCAAGUCAAGGGUGAAAUCCCCGCGCUCAACGUGGGAACUGCCUUUGAAACU